rnacentral:rRNA from 1 species
UACGGAGGAUGCGAGCGUUAUCCGGAUUUAUUGGGUUUAAAGGGAGCGCAGGCUGCGAGGCAAGUCAGCGGUCAAAUGUCGGGGCUCAACCCCGGCCUGCCGUUGAAACUGUCUUGCUAGAGUUCGAGUGAGGUAUGCGGAAUGCGUUGUGUAGCGGUGAAAUGCAUAGAUAUGACGCAGAACUCCGAUUGCGAAGGCAGCAUACCAACUCGCGACUGACGCUGAGGUUCGAAAGCGUGGGUAUCGAACAGG